GUCAUCGCCUAGAUGCCGGGAAUAAAGCGCGACCCUGAAUGAUCAAGGCGACCCUGUGUGGCCGGCCGGGGAAUGAUGCCCAACCAACCAAGCCACACCAGUCGGGGCUAGUCCAGUUCUCUCACUGAGGGCCAAAGUGACCAUACCCUAAUGGAUCUGUACCAACCCACAUAUCCAACCCAUGAGGAGGCCAGACUCCACGGGAAAAGAAGAAGUAAAUGAUCAGUGCAGAAAACCAGGAGAAACACGAAUGAAGACAAAUAUUGCCCAGGAGCAAGCACACUUCUUGGUUCUUUCCCCAGGGCUCUGUAAUUUUUUAUGGUAAAUAUCUUUGAGAGGUUAGAGUUUAAUGCCCAUGUUACAGCCAGAACGGAAUCCCUUACAGUUGUGUAACAUUUUAUGAUCUUCCACGGUUUUCAGCUCUGUAUUUUAUCGCGUAC